rnacentral:lncRNA from 1 species
GGAAAACUUUGGAAGAGACUCUAAGAAAAGACUUAGAGUACUUGGAUCUAACGGAGGAUAUGACACAAAACCGAGCACAAUAGCGUUCUAGGAUUCAUAUAGCCGACCCCACUUAGUGGGAAAAGACUUUGUUGUUGUUGUUGUUUCAAUUUACCCUUUAUUAUUUAAUCCACGUUAAUCACUAUUUUUUCCAUGCUAUAUAAUUAGCUUGUAUUGUCUUUAGU